UCGGAGCUUGCUCCGAUCGGAUUAGUGGCGGACGGGUGAGUAACGCGUGAGUAACCUGCCUGCGAGAGGGGGAUAACAACGGGAAACUGUUGCUAAUACCGCAUAACGCAUCGAUUCCGCAUGGAGAUGAUGCCAAAGGGAAACCGCUUGCAGAUGGACUCGCGUCUGAUUAGGUAGUUGGUGAGGUAACGGCUCACCAAGCCGACGAUCAGUAGCCGGCCUGAGAGGGUGAACGGCCACAUUGGGACUGAGACACGGCCCAAACUCC
rnacentral:rRNA from 1 species